CUGCCCUUGACUCUGGGAUAACCUCCGGAAACGGAAGCUAAUACCGGAUACGACCCGCGGAGGCAUCUCCAGCGGGUGGAAAGAACUUCGGUCAAGGAUGGACUCGCGGCCUAUCAGGUAGUUGGUGAGGUAAAGGCUCACCAAGCCUACGACGGGUAGCCGGCCUGAGAGGGUGACCGGCCACACUGGGACUGAGACACGGCCCAGACUCCUACGGGAGGCAGCAGUGGGGAAUAUUGCACAAUGGGCGCAAGCCUGAUGCAGCAACGCCGCGUGAGGGACGACGGCCUUCGGGUUGUAAACCUCUUUUAGUAGGGAAGAAGCGAAGUGACGGNCCUGCAGAAAAAGCACCGGCUAAUACGUGCCAGCAGCCGCGGNAAACGUAGGGUGCGAGCGUUGACCGGAAUUAUUGGGCGUAAAGAGCUCGUAUGCGGUCUGUCGCGUCUGCUGUGAAAACCCGAGGCUCAACCUCGGGCCUGCAGUGGGUACGGACAGACUAUAGUGCGGUAGGGGAGAAUGGAAUUCCUGGUGUAGCGGUGGAAUGCUCAUAUAUCAGGAUGAUCACCGAUCGAAAGCGUGGGGAGCGAACAGGAUUAGAUACCCUGGUAGUCCACGCCGUAAACGUUGGGCGCUAGAUGUGGGGACCAUUCCACGGUUUCCGUGUCGCAGCUAACGCAUUAAGCGCCCCGCCUGGGGAGUACGGCCGCAAGGCUAAAACUCAAAGGAAUUGACGGGGGCCCGCACAAGCGGCGGAGCAUGCGGAUUAAUUCGAUGCAACGCGAAGAACCUUACCAAGGCUUGACAUAUACGAGAACGGGCUAGAAAUAGUCAACUCUUUGGACACUCGUAAACAGGUGGUGCAUGGUUGUCGUCAGCUCGUGUCGUGAGAUGUUGGGUUAAGUCCCGCAACGAGCGCAACCCUCGUUCUAUGUUGCCAGCACGUAAUGGUGGGAACUCAUAGGAGACUGCCGGGGUCAACUCGGAGGAAGGUGGGGAUGACGUCAAAUCAUCAUGCCCCUUAUGUCUUGGGCUUACGCAUGCUACAAUGGCCGGUACAAAGGGCUGCAAUACCGCAAGGUGGAGCGAAUCCCAAAAAGCCGGUCUCAGUUCGGAUAGAGGUCUGCAACUCGACCUCAUGAAGUCGGAGUCGCUAGUAAUCGCAGAUCAGCAACGCUGCGGUGAAUACGUUCCCGGGCCUUGUACACACCGCCCGUCAAGUCAUGAAAGUCGGUAACACCCGAAGCCGGUGGCCUAACCCUUGUGGAAGGAGCCGUCGAAGGUGGGAUCGGUGAU
rnacentral:rRNA from 1 species